GACGAACGCUGGCGGCGUGCUUAACACAUGCAAGUCGAACGGAAAGGCCCUGCUUUUGUGGGGUGCUCGAGUGGCGAACGGGUGAGUAACACGUGAGUAUCCUGCCCUUGACUUUGGGAUAACUUCAGGAAACUGGGGCUAAUACCGGAUAGGAGCUCCUGCUGCAUGGUGGGGGUUGGAAAGUUUCGGCGGUUGGGGCUGGACUCGCGGCUUAUCAGCUUGUUGGUGGGGUAGUGGCUUACCAAGGCUUUGACGGGUAGCCGGCCUGAGAGGGUGACCGGCCACAAUGGGACUGAGAUACGGAGCAGACUCCUACGGGAGGCAGCAGUGGGGAAUAUUGCACAAUGGGCGGAAGCCUGAUGCAGCAACGCCGCGUGCGGGAUGACGGGCUUCGGGUUGUAAACCGCUUUCGACUGUGACGAAGCGUGAGUGACGGUAAUGGGUAAAGAAGCACCGGCUAACUACGUG
rnacentral:rRNA from 1 species